GACGAACGCUGGCGGCGUGCCUAAUACAUGCAAGUAGAACGCUGAAGAGAGGAGCUUACUCUUCUUGGAUGAGUUGCGAACGGGUGAGUAACGCGUAGGUAACCUGCCUUGUAGCGGGGGAUAACUAUUGGAAACGAUAGCUAAUACCGCAUAACAAUGGAUGACACAUGUCAUUUAUUUGAAAGGGGCAAUUGCUCCACUACAAGAUGGACCUGCGUUGUAUUAGCUAGUAGGUGAGGUAAUGGCUCACCUAGGCGACGAUACAUAGCCGACCUGAGAGGGUGAUCAGCCACACUGGGACUGAGACACGGCCCAGACUCCUACGGGAGGCAGCAGUAGGGAAUCUUCGGCAAUGGGGGCAACCCUGACCGAGCAACGCCGCGUGAGUGAAGAAGGUUUUCGGAUCGUAAAGCUCUGUUGUAAGUCAAGAACGGGUGUGAGAGUGGAAAGUUCACACUGUGACGGUAGCUUACCAGAAAGGGACGGCUAACUACGUG
rnacentral:rRNA from 1 species